AAGCUGUCCUCUGACUUCCUCAUAUGUGCGGUGGCGACACACUAAAUAAAUACUGGUGAAAAAAAAAAAUCUAAAAAGAACCCUAUACCAGCAAACCAGAUGGGAGAUAAAUGAUAGUGACUGUGAAUGUGGAAAGCACCCACAGCCUGCUACAAUCUCCCGAGCAGAUCAAGAAAAGGGCCUCUCUUUCGCCUCUCCAGUCCCAAUCUCAUUCUGGACCAUGCCUGUUCCGGAGAAGGGAAUGCUGGGAGUGAUCUUGCCAGUUCAGCAAGCCGACAGGAUCUCAGGCCAUGUAGUCAGACCUCCCAUGGGCUCACACCCUGGGGGCACUUGUGCUGCCCCAGGCCAGAGGCCACAGGAAAAGGCAACAGUGAAUCUCUGAAGCCCCGAAUCACAUAAACCUUUCUUCUUUACAAAUGGAUUAUUCCAGGUAUUUUACCACAGCAAUGGAAAGCUAACACAUAGGUCUAAGAGCUUUAUGAAGACUAGCUGAACACUAAUUCCAACAAAACCAACAAGAACCAUAUAAGCAAGAUAUGUCACAGGGCUGGGAAACUGCAGAGCUAGGAUUCUGGCCACACCAUUCGGAAGAGAGGCUUGCAUCAUUGUGCAGCAUUUUGCUAAAGCAUGCAACCCUGCUCCCCAUUUCUGAACAGUCACACCAGCUGGUUUAACAGUGCUGGUUUUAGCCGUAUAAACCUGAGGACGAGAGCUCCACCUUGUGGUGGAAGAUGGAAUCACAGGGCUCAGUUUCCCUGAGCCCCCCUCAGCCUGGUUAUCACACCACCCCAGAAGCAGUGGCUUGAGGUCUAGCUCAGUUGGCAGGUACUAGUCCAGCAUACACGAAACCUGGUUUUGACGACCAGUGCCCCAAUUACUGGGGGUCUAUGGUGCUUGCUGGCUAUCCUAAGCACUUGGAAAUUGGAGGCCAAAUCAGGAGUUCAAAGUCACUCUCAGCUUCACAGAGUUCUAGGUUAGUCUAGGCUACGUGGUAUUUUGGCACAAACAAACAGGCAGGGAGGGGUAAGGGUAAAUUAUACAUUUUAUUCCCAAUGUUCAAAUUUUAACUUG
ensembl:lincRNA Gm4598 predicted gene 4598